rnacentral:rRNA from 1 species
GUGGGGAAUAUUGGACAAUGGGCGAAAGCCUGAUCCAGCCAUGCCGCGUGUGUGAAGAAGGUCUUCGGAUUGUAAAGCACUUUAAGUUGGGAGGAAGGGCAGUAAGUUAAUACCUUGCUGUUUUGACGUUACCGACAGAAUAAGCACCGGCUAACUUCGUGCCAGCAUCCGCGGUAAUACGAAGGGUGCAAGCGUUAAUCGGAAUUACUGGGCGUAAAGCGCGCGUAGGUGGUUUUGUAAGUUGGAGGGGAAAUCCCCAGGCUCAAACUGGGAACUGCCUCCAAAAGUGCAUGACUAGAGUACGGUAGAGGGUAGUGGAAUUUCCUGUGUAGCGGUGAAAUGCGUAGAUAUAGGAAGGAACACCAGUGGCGAAGGCGACUACCUGGACUGAUACUGACACUGAGGUGCCAAAGCGUGGGGAGCAAACAGGAUUAGAAACCCGAGUAGUCC